UAAUUGAAGAGUUUGAUCAUGGCUCAGAUUGAACGCUGGCGGCAGGCCUAACACAUGCAAGUCGAGCGGCAGCACAGGGGAACUUGUUCCCUGGGUGGCGAGCGGCGGACGGGUGAGUAAUGCCUGGGAAGUUGCCCGGUAGAGGGGGAUAACCAUUGGAAACGAUGGCUAAUACCGCAUAACCUCGCAAGAGCAAAGCAGGGGACCUUCGGGCCUUGCGCUACCGGAUAUGCCCAGGUGGGAUUAGCUAGUUGGUGAGGUAA
rnacentral:rRNA from 1 species